rnacentral:rRNA from 1 species
GACGAACGCUGGCGGCGUGCCUAACACAUGCAAGUCGAACGAGACCGUCGGGUCUAUGUGCGCAGGUCUGCGUAACGCGGGGUAACCUGCCCGUAGGUUCGGUAUAACUGCCCGAAAGGUGUCCUAAGACCGGAUAAUGUCUUCCGGCCAAAGACUUAUUGCUGUUGGAUGGGCGCGCGUUGGAUUAGCUAGUUGGUAGGGUAAAAGCAUACCAAGGCGACGAUCCUUGGCUGGUCUGAUAGGAUGAUAAGCCACACUGGGACUGCGACACGGCCCAGACCCGUACGGGAGGCAGCAGUGGGGAAUAUUGGACAAUGGGCGCAAGCGUGAUAAAGCAAUGCGGGGUGAGUGAUGAAGGCGUUAGGGUUGUAAAGUCCUUUUACCCGAGAUGAUAAUGACAGUACCGGGAGAAUAAGCUCCGGCUAACUCCGUG